rnacentral:rRNA from 1 species
GAAUCCUUACUUGUGUCAAGUUGAGGAUAAAGGAUUGGAAAAUGAUGAUAGUACAUUCCUAUUAGUGUUGUCAAAAUACUGGUGCCAGAAGACUCGGUAAGGCCAGAAACGCUAACGUUAGUAGUCUUAAUCAGGCGUAAAGGGUUCGUAGACUUCUUCGAAUUAUUAUAUGCUCCCUAGUUUUCAAUUAACUUUAUUAUCUAGCGUCUGUUUUUAUUUUACUCUUGCUAGUGUAAUAUAAAGAAGCGUUCGAUAUUUAAAGGUAAACUAGGAGAAGUUAAUAUUGUGAAAUAAAUACUAUCUUUUUUUUAAGAGAUAUGUUAAUAUAAUAGCAAAAUUACUUCUUAUUAAAGGUAUAGUAAUGAAUGCGAAGAUAGAAUCUUAUGCGAGGUGCUUUAACAAAUGCUUUAAGUAAGGAUGAAAUCUUUAGAUCUAAAGUGGAAGACUAAGGGCGAAAGCUAUUUACCUAGUAAAGAUUGACGUUGAGGAACGUAGGUUAGGAUCGAAAAAAGGAUUAGAUACCCAAGUAUUCCUAUCUGUUAACGAUGAAUGGUUAGUUAUUCAGUUAAAAUAUUAUAUUUAUUAUACUAGAAACUUUUUAUAGUGAGUAGUAAACAAAGAAAAUAUCUUAAAACUGGGAAGCGUAGCUAACGCAAUUACCAUUCCGCCUUGUGAGUACGACUGCAAAGUUGAAAACAAAAAAAUUAGUCGGUUUCGGAGCAAACGAAGUGAGGCAUG